rnacentral:snRNA from 1 species
GGAUGUGAGGGCGAUCUGGCUGCGACAUCUUUCACCUCAUUGGUCGCCAGGGUUGAUUCGGCUGAUCUGGAAGGCCAGGCGGGUGGCCCCUUGUCCCUCACCACUCCAUGUGUGUCCUUCCCAAAGCUGUCUGCUCGGUCUGAAGAGGACAACCUUCCCCGAGAGAAGAGGGCCGUUCUUCUGUAUAGGAGGAUAUAGGAGUAGCAACGUUCCCCUUUUAGAACCUCCAAACAAGCUCUCUGGGUCUGUUUGUAGGAAAACAUAGGGUAGUCAAGCUUCCACAUGAGGAACCGCAUUGAGCACUCUGACUGGCU